CUGCUCACUUCAUCAGCACAUACACUAAAUUGGAACGAUACAGAGAUUAGCAUGACCCCUGACGCACAAAUACGUAAAGCAUUCCAUAGAAAUUUUUUUUU
ensembl:snRNA U6 U6 spliceosomal RNA